rnacentral:lncRNA from 1 species
CUGGUUCCCGGCCUGUAGCUUGUCUCUGUGAUUCAUUUUAAGCAUUAAGAAAGGAGAAGAAACCGUAUCUCAGAAGAAGAAGAAAAAAGUCUGGGGCUUCCCUUCUACCUCGUGAAGUGACUUGUGUUCCACCACACACCUCUCCUAUUGAUGUGCCAAAAGGGGUGAAGCUGAACCUAGUGAGGCUGCUGUCCUUCAUCAAGCACUGAGUUGAAGAAGAUUGGACUUGGCCUUUUGCGCUUGUGAAGGAUAAAAGCACACUUUGGUGGUUCUUCUGAAAUGAGCAUAGUAGACAGGAGGAACCUUUCUGUGAGUAUAAUCUAAAUACUCCUUAGAUAGCUUUCUUCACUUGAGUGGUGCUU